AGCUGCACUGCGGACCAUGCAAGCAAACGGGCCUUUGCCUCCGUGUGCACGCGGGAUGAUUAGAGAUUCCUGUCCUGCCCUGACACCCUAAUCUGCCUAAUUACAUUAAGGCAGCUAAAACCUUCUCCAACCGCAGUGCCAGUUGCUCAUGUGGCACAAACCAAACAAACACACGGACAACGACGAGAUAGUUCACCUCUGCUGAAAGAAUCUUCUUCAGGCGGGAGAUGUUUGUCAAACUUGGGGGCUCCCCAGCGAGAAGAAAUGUUGACCAUGCAAAGUUAAAAAUACCAUGUUGCGUCUGAAUGGUCAAAACCUCAGGCUGGCGGCUAAAAAUGGCCUCGAUUCCAAAACACCUGCCCCCCAUUUGUCAGCAACCCGCGGGAGGGAGACGGCGGGUCGGCUUACGGCCUCGCUGCUGCCCACGUCCCCCGGGCCUGACUCCCGGAGGCCCCCCAGACGCCCCCCGAAGCUCGCCCCGCUGGAGCUGCCAGAGGCGGUGAGGGAGUCCCAGAGGCGGAAACUUCAGCUCAUCCAGCAGGAGGCCAAACCGGCUUCCUGUCAGCUGGACGCGACGGGGGCCGACACCUGCGCGGGGGAGGUAAAAUCCUGCGUGGGACGGAAACCGGAAAAAGCUGCAGGUCGCCCCGCUGCCUCCGCCGAGAGACACGCACCUUCGAGGCCCCGGCCGGCGCGCUCCGUCCCCGCAGAGCACAACGGAGACGAGCUCCUGGAGGACGCGGUGCGUCGAGGUGCCCCAGCGCCGCUGGGCAGCAGGCCCGCCCCACCUUUGCUUGCCCACAGAGCUGGAGCUCGAGCCCCGCGUCCCGUGGAGGUGGCGCGUGAAAUCCCCCAGCGCCCCCCAGCAGGGGAAAAGGCGAGGCGGUGGCUGAGGCCGAGGAGAUCGCAAGGCCCGGGAGAGGAUAAGUGCAAUUCACUCACUUCGACCGGGGGAUUAUCUGCAGAUAAAGGCGAGCUGGCCCAAGGUGUCCAAGGCGAAGGGAAGAAGGCAGAGAGGGCUGGAAAAGCCAUCAGAGAGCCUCCUGCAGCCCACCGGGAGCGAGGAGGCCGUAUCAGGGAAAGCCAUCAAGAGGACUGCAGGCAGCCAUGUGCUCCGACCGGACAGACGAAGGUGGGAGCGGUGAACAUCCGCUCGACGGUGCGAAGCCGAGUGCUUCUAAUUGUGGAUUAAAGAAGAAAACGUGAUCUCAAAGCACAACAGCGCUUUCCCUCUGGAACGUCUCCAACUGUAAUUCGAUUGGAUCUUUCACUUUUGCAGCUCGGGACUUUAUUAAAUGAUGUCAUGCUCAGAGAUGGUCCGCCAGAAACAGGCUUAACAUCCCAGUUUGGCAGCUGAUUUAUAGUCUAAGUUACUCAGCAGAUGAAAAGCCUCAUGUGGGAAUCAGAAAGGGCUGCUGUAUUUAUACACUGCUGUACACACACAAACAACGGCAGCAAAUGGCUUCGAACAGUUUAAUGUGCAAUUAUUUAAUUUCACCAGAUUUGACUUCAGAAAUGGGCCCAUAUUGAAAUAGCAACGCAGGCAACACAUCGCUGGCAGGAAGCCGGAUGAUUUGGAGUUUGUAGAGCUGACUUUCCCUCGUGUUCCCAAACAACAUUUCAUAAUGACGUGCUCCAUAAUAACAUUUCAUGAAAGUGUAGCAGCUCUAUCUUGUGCAAUUUGUUAUUUCCCAAACCUUCUGCCCUAGAUAAGACUGUGUAAUGAUUCAAUGCACGGAACAAAGUAAAGCUGCUGGCACAUCACAGAGAGUUACAUCGGCCAAGAUGACCCUCAGAGAAAAUAGUUUGGACCGAUGAGUUAAACAACAGCCGACAAUGACCAUCCUUACUUUCAUCAGUCAAAUGUUACAAUGAAUGUACAAUAAUUAAAGACUUUUAACAAUAUGCAGUGUUUCUGAUUGUCAUGUUUAAAAUAUGAUACACAUCAGGUUGAGGAGCAUCAUACUUUUAACACUUGAGUAUGGAUCAUAUUUUCUAUUAGUCUUGUUGCUCAGAGAAAAUGUUCUUAUUUGUUUUUUGUUUCAGCUG
ensembl:lncRNA